rnacentral:rRNA from 1 species
CCUACGGAGGCAGCAGUGGGGAAUAUUGGACAAGGGGCGAAAGCCUGAUCCAGCCAUGCCGCGUGUGUGAAGAAGGCCUUCGGGUUGUAAAGCACUUUCAGUGGGGAAGAAAGCCUUGGGGCUAAUACCCUCGAGGAAGGACAUCACCCACAGAAGAAGCACCGGCUAACUCCGUGCCAGCAGCGGCGGUAAUACGGAGGGUGCGAGCGUUAAUCGGAAUUACUGGGCGUAAAGCGCGCGUAGGCGGUCUGAUAAGCCUGUUGUGAAAGCCCCGGGCUCAACCUGGGAACGGCAUCCGGAACUGUCAGGCUAGAGUGCAGGAGAGGAAGGUAGAAUUCCCGGUGUAGCGGUGAAAUGCGUAGAGAUCGGGAGGAAUACCAGUGGCGAAGGCGGCCUUCUGGACUGACACUGACGCUGAGGUGCGAAAGCGUGGGUAGCAAACAGGAUUAGAUACCCGAGUAGUC